rnacentral:rRNA from 1 species
UACGUAGGGUGCAAGCGUUAAUCGGAAUUACUGGGCGUAAAGCGUGCGCAGGCGGUUUUGUAAGUCUGACGUGAAAUCCCCGGGCUCAACCUGGGAAUUGCGUUGGAGACUGCAAGGCUGGAGUCUGGCAGAGGGGGGUAGAAUUCCACGUGUAGCAGUGAAAUGCGUAGAGAUGUGGAGGAACACCGAUGGCGAAGGCAGCCCCCUGGGUCAAGACUGACGCUCAUGCACGAAGGCGUGGGGAGCAAACAGG